CCAGUUAUUGAACAAUGAAUAAACAAAAAAAGUACAACAGUACUGAAGUAACCAAAACCAUAAGUAACCAUAACUU